AGUCGAGCGGUAACAGGAAUUAGCUUGCUAAUUUGCUGACGAGCGGCGGACGGGUGAGUAACGCGUAGGAAUCUGCCUGGUAGUGGGGGACAACAUGUGGAAACGCAUGCUAAUACCGCAUACGCCCUACGGGGGAAAGGAGGGGAUCUUCGGACCUUUCGCUAUCAGAUGAGCCUGCGUGAGAUUAGCUAGUUGGUGGGGUAAAGGCUCACCAAGGCGACGAUCUCUAGCUGGUCUGAGAGGAUGAUCAGCCACACUGGGACUGAGACACGGCCCAGACUCCUACGGGAGGCAGCAGUGGGGAAUAUUGGACAAUGGGCGCAAGCCUGAUCCAGCCAUGCCGCGUGUGUGAAGAAGGCCUUCGGGUUGUAAAGCGCUUUCAGAGGUGAGGAAGGGUGUGUAGUUAAUACCU
rnacentral:rRNA from 1 species